CCUACGGGAGGCUGCAGUGGGGGAUAUUGCACAAUGGGGGGAACCCUGAUGCAGCGACGCCGCGUGGGUGAAGAAGCGCCUCGGCGCGUAAAGCCCUGUCAGCAGGGAAGAAAAUGACGGUACCUGAAGAAGAAGCCCCGGCUAACUACGGGCCCGCAGCCGGCGGAAUACGUAGGGGGCAAGCGGUAUCCGGAUUUUCUGGGUGUAAAGGGGGCCGAGACGGCGAUGCAAGCCAGGAGUGAAAGCCCGGGGGCCAACCCCGGGACAGCUUUUGGAACUGCGUGGCUGGAGUGCAGGAGGGGCAGGCGGAAUUCCUGGUGUAGCGGUGAAAUGCGUAGAUAUCAGGAGGAACACCAGUGGCGAAGGCGGCCUACUGGACUGCAACUGACGUUGAGGCCCGAAAGCGUGGGGAGCAAACAGGAUUAGAUACCCGAGUAGUC
rnacentral:rRNA from 1 species